CCUACGGGAGGCAGCAGUGAGGAAUAUUGGUCAAUGGACGAGAGUCUGAACCAGCCAAGUAGCGUGAAGGAUGACUGCCCUAUGGGUUGUAAACUUCUUUUAUAUGGUAAUAAAAUGUUCCACGUGUGGGAUUUUGUAUGUACCCUAUGAGUAAGGAUCGGCUAACUCCGUGCCAGCAGCCGCGGUAAUACGGAGGAUCCGAGCGUUAUCCGGAUUUAUUUGGUUUAAAGGGAGCGUAGGUGGAUUGUUAAGUCAGUUGUGAAAGUUUGCGGCUCAACCGUAAAAUUGCAGUUGAAACUGGCAGGCUUGAGUACAGGAGAGGUGGGCGGAAUUCGUGGUGUAGCGGUGAAAUGCUUAGAUAUCACGAAGAACUCCGAUUGCGAAGGCAGCUCACUGGACUGCAACUGACACUGAGGCUCGAAAGUGUGGGUAUCAAACAGGAUUAGAUACCCCGGUAGUC
rnacentral:rRNA from 1 species